rnacentral:rRNA from 1 species
CCCUUAGAUGUUCUGGGCCGCACGCGCGCUACACUGAUGCAUUCAACGAGUCUAAAACCUGCUCUGAUAGGGGUGGGUAAUCUUUUGAAUGUGCAUCGUGAUUGGGAUAGAUGAUUGCAAUUUUUCAUCUUCAACGAGGAAUGCCUAGUAAACGCAAGUCAUCAGCUUGCAUUGUUUACGUCCCUGCCCUUUGUACACACCGCCCGUCGCUCCUACCGAUUGAAUGAUCCGAUGAAUAUCAUGGAUUGAGGAUGCAAGCAGGUUCGCCUGUCUUCAUCUUCGAGAAGUGAAGUAAAUCUUAUCAUUUAGAGGAAGGAGAAGUCGUAACA